AAUGCCCACCGAACAAAUCUGAGGCAUACUUCAGACGCAUGUUUUUUUUUUUUCCCCCUCAAGGAAAUAGUCUAUUAUCAAAAUUCCAAAAAGUGUAGACCGUCCACUGAAUUCCUUCUUUGAUCUCGUCCUUGCAGCUUCACCAUGUGGAAGGGCCGCGUGUACUGUUGCGACCCGCAAGAUACGUGGGUGCAGGAGCUGAUGGCCAACAUCGACAAGAAAGCCGUCAAACACGUCAAGAAAACCGCCCCAAAGCGCCAAAAGAGUCGCUUGAUCAGCUGAGUGAGGCCUCACCCUCCUGGAGAAAAAGGCAAUCGACGUUUUGACUUUCACUGUUGACUUUUUUUUUGCAUUCACUGGACUUUUUAUUGUGACGACGCGUGACCAUGAUGUGACGAAACAGUGUUUACGUGCAAAUGGAAACCAUAAAAUGUGAAUCUGAACUGUGUGUAGCAUGAGCGCUUGCUUAAACAUUGUGACAAUAAAACUGCUUAGCCAUUCAAA